ACAUAUUUGAUAUGAGAUUUGGGUGGUGUUUGUUUUUUGUGAAAAGAUCUUCAGGACCUCUUAUGUCUGCCCCACGCAGACCACGCGCAGACGUUUGAGUCUGCAGUGUGUUUGUUUUCUCGAAGACCUUUCAUUAAAAAAGGUCUGCGCGACCUCUUUUUCAUGCAGACAUGGAUCAAGCUCUUCAUACCUCUUCUGCUCUUUUUUUCUCCCAGAUGCAACAAACACUGCCCUAGUUCCUUCUCCCCUCCUCCUACGUAGCCGACCACCCCUCCUCUUCCUCCACACCACCGGCCGCCCAUCCUCCUCCUCUACACCGCCGACCUCCUCCUUCCUCUCUGCCGGCCACCCUUCCUCCUCUACACCACCGGCCACCCCUCCUCCUCCUCCUCCUCCUCCUCCUUCACACCGCCGACCUCCUCCUCCCUCUCUGCCGACCACCCCUCCUCCUCCUUCCUCUGCGGUUACUCGGAGAACGUUGGAGAUCAUGUUACUCAUCCAAUCAGGAUCUUGCAAGAUCUCAGUCUUGAGUUUGAUGAUAUGAAUACGGAGUAUAAAAAAGGUUCUGUCUAGAUGUCCUCUCUUGGUUGGUCUGGUGGGUAAGCGGUCAAAAAUCAAAACGGGUUGAAUUAAGUGCAGCUGAAAAUAGGUCGGAUCGGGUUGCAACUUGAUGUUUGUUUGAAACUUGUAUGUGGUUAAAACUUGAUGUAAAUUCACAUGUCGACUAGUGUUUGUUUGAAACUUGUAUGUGGUUAAAACUUGAUGUUUGUUUGAAACUUGUAUGUGGUUAAAACUUGAUGUAAAUUCAUAUGCAAAGCAUGGAUUCAAUGAUUUAAAAAAAGUGUUAUUGUUUUUUUAUAAAUAUUAUUUCAGUAUUGUAUAACUAUUACUU
rnacentral:lncRNA from 1 species